AUGGAGAACACCCGGCAGCUCUCCAACGCCAUACGAGGAAACCAGGGAGUGAAGAUAGAAGAUGAAGAUGAAGGGGAGGGAAGAAGGAAGAUGUUUAUGGAAAUUCUUCUUGAAAUUCCAAGCUUGGAUGAAUUGCAUGCAGGGCAGCACCAAGAACUAUUGCUUCAUCAGCAUCAAGAUGCCAAUCAAGUUAUUUUCUACCAAGGAACUCUUGAAGCUUAG
rnacentral:lncRNA from 1 species